GUGUUGUAUUGCUGGUGGAGUAUGUGCAGGUGCCACACAACGGUUCGGAGGGGCGAUGCCACACACUGAGGAGCGGCACUGUGGGGGCUCCCUUUGAAAUGGGAUGAGAGUUUGAGGCACCGCAAGGAGUGACUGCCGAUGAGUCCAACUCUGGAAUCCAUGCGGAGCAGGAGAGGAGAAUGACACGGCGCAG